rfam:Tupaia chinensis contig77935, whole genome shotgun sequence.
GAGUGUUACAACUCUUUUAGAAUUUGUCUAGCAGGUUUUCCGGUUUUUACCGGAAAGACACCCCC